CAACUGCUCCAUUAGUCUACGGCCUGUAUGCAGACGAUCUGUGAUGCUGAAUGCCAUACUCUUGAAUCAACGUGUCCACCUCGCCCUUGAAAUGCACCCCUCUGUCUGAGAUCAGCUCAUGAGGGACCCCGUAUCGGCAGAUAAUAUGCGAUCUGAUGAACUUGGCCACUCUAGCCGCUGUCAACCUAGCAUAAGAAGCA
rnacentral:lncRNA from 1 species